UUCAGAGCUAAACUGCUACCGGUAAAGAAUUUGCCAGGCGCCAUCACACCGUCACUGGAAUUCAGAAGCGCUACGGCAAGAGUUCAUUGGGUGCCAGCGUUGGAGUUCCAAAAUCGCCGCUGCGGGCGUCCACCGACGUCAAUCUCCUGGUGUCUUGUUAAUCGCUAGCUAUCAAUCACACAAAAAGCAAACUGUGAAGUUCAGUCUUGUGCUCUUCCGAGGAUCAGUCUAUGGUGUGCAUCAUGCCUCUGAAUUUUUUAGUUUACAGGCGAAUCAGUCCAUCAUGUUGAAUCCCUCAAAAGACUACAAAGUGCUUACCAUCCUGGUGCAAAAAAGGCUGAGGUGAUUUCAUCCGGGAAGUUCACCGUGCCCCCAUCGGGAGUCCACCGUGCUCAGAGCUCGCGCGUUGCCCCUGCGUACGCUAGAGUCCUACCCCCUUGCUGGAAGUGCAGUGUUUGGUUCAAAAGUUCUGUUAUUUGGGACACAAAUCUGACCGGCAAUAACCUCACCCAUAAAAAUGAAAAAGGAGCAGUUCCAGAUGGAUGCCAUGGAAGUUCACUGGGCAGAGAGUCUGGCUUCGUGCGUUGCCUCUGAACUGCUGCACGGUGAGCUGCACCGGCAGAUUUCGAGUUGCAUCAUGCGGUGGUGGAUGGGAGAUCGGAGAGGGGCCGCCGGUGUUGUUGGGCGGGGAGGUGCGCCGACGCUCUGUGUUCAAGCCUAUCAUCUAAAGCACAGAUAGAUAUUUGUGAAGUUUGUGGCCGCGGGAUGGAUGAUCCAGUAAUACUCCAUGGCGAUUUCAACGCUAAAACUUAAGGUAAUUAUCUAGUAAACUUUGCAUAUGCAUUCAAGAUUCCAUUCCUGUUCCCUAUAAUUAUGUUGUUACCUAUAAUUAUGUUGUUAUACUCAUUCUUAUACUCAUUCCCUAUAUUUUGCCCAGAACAGUCUGUACAAAUUAAUACCAGAGCAAAAAGGUAAAACAAUUUGACAUUUUUUCUGCAACUAGUUGAGCAGUACUAAUCUCAAAAGUAGCUGAAACGUACAAACAUCACAAGCCUGCACUUGAGUUUGUGAUUUUAAUGCUAAUAAGAUCUGUGGAAUUUCUUUUUUGAAGUUCAGAUUACUUGAUUGGCGUAGUGCACCUUUUUACAUAUGUGAAGUUUGUUUUUUAUAUGACUUAAUUAUCAUCACAGUACCCAUAAGCAGCAUUGCAACGAGCUGGGAGUUCUUGCGGCUGGCUCAUGCGGUUGUUGUGACUGCAAGUCAUGCUCUUCAUUGCGUGAAGCAUCCGAGCACAAGUGUGCACAACAGGAAUUAAGGUGCAGAGAUGACGAGCUAAUUUUUCCUAAUCCGCGGAGUUCAUUUCUCCUAAUUCAUGAAGUUCACAUCUCCUCCUUCUUGAAGGAGUCCAGCACGCGACCGCACCCCUCGGCAGUCUAGUGUGUGUUGCUGGGAAGUCCACCUGCAGCUCCCCUGGCAAU